AGCAGCCGCGGUAAUUCCAGCUCCAAUAGCGUAUAUUAAAGUUGUUGCAGUUAAAAAGCUCGUAGUUGAAUUUCGGGAUCAAUAUUUCGGUCAUGCCGUUGGUAUGCACUGUUAUCAUUGAUUUCUCACCUUCUAAAGAACCGUAAUGCCAUUAAUUUGGUGUUACGGGGAAUUAGGACUGUUACCUUGAAAAAAUUAGAGUGUUUAAAGCAGGCUCACGCUUGAAUACAUUAGCAUGGAAUAAUGAAAUAGGACAUCCGAUUCUAUUUUGUUGGUUUCUAGGAUCGAUGUAAUGAUUAAUAGGGAUAGUUGGGGGCAUUAGUAUUCAAUUGUCAGAGGUGAAAUUCUUGGAUUUAUUGAAGACUAACUACUGCGAAAGCAUUUGCCAAGGAUGUUUUCAUUAAUCAAGAACGAAAGUUAGGGGAUCGAAGACGAUCAGAUACCGUCGUAGUCUUAACCAUAAACUAUGCCGACUAGGGAUCGGAUGAUGUUAAUUUUUAAUGA
rnacentral:sRNA from 1 species